ACAAAUCGCCACAGUGGAGCGUGGGGUGGGGUGCCCGAGAGCCUAGCAAAGGAGAAAAGCAAGCCCCCCGUGAGUGAUGCCAGAACCCCCGGGAGGCCAGAGGACUGCACACUUCCCUACCAUCCCCUCCCGACGCCUUUGGCGUACACUGCCUGCCAACACGAGUGAGAAUCCUUCACGUCGCCAUCUUUGCGUCCUUGGUCUCCCUUCUGAAACAUGGGAAGAGGCUGCUUAGCAGGAGGCCAGAGAUGGGUGCGAGGGCCCCGACGCAGGCCGUGUUUCUCCACACGACAAGCUCGAAUCACGUGGUGGUCAUGAAGGUUCCCCAGGAGGCAGGGCCGCGAUGGAGCCCCAGUCAACGCAUCUGAGGUCUGGUUCCUGUUCCUCGAUGUCUCAGCUGCCCAGAGGGCCCCGGCGUGAGCCCUGCACGUGCUGUGCCAGGCCCUGCAGCUCAAGAGCCCAAGCUAAGCCAGCGUGGACGAGGGACACGUCCUUGAACUCUGAAUGUGAUCUGCUGCUGUGGUGCCCGGACGGGGUGGCUUCGGAAGGCCGUGUGAGGGCAGUCUGUCCUGUCUGCCCACCUCGCCUUUCUGGUAAAGACAGGCAGGGAUGCGGAGGCGUGGCCACUCCUGAUUCGGGAUGAAAGCAACCAAAGCCGUGACUUUCACCACCACGCACCGAUCGAGAGCUGGGAGGCGUGCCAAGCACCGCAUCCUAACCUCUCUGACACCUACGAGCAAACCGUGAACCAGAACCUGGAACAGGUUACGUCUGUGCUGGGAGCCUGCUUCUAAAUAACUCACAUGUUUUGGAACAAAAAAAACCCACAACCUUCCCUGGAGCUGGAAGAGAUCCCGAGGGAAUGGGUGACUCAGACUGUAGACAAAUACAUUACACUGCCCGUUCAGGCUGCUUCUGUGUGGGCGCUUCUAAAAAGACAUGCGGACACACGAGCGCUCCUUAGACUCUAAUUGGCUUAACGUAUUAAUGACCAUGUUGCAAAACCGGGACACCAAGCUAGCGAAUCUAAUCGUGGAAGGAGACUCCGACUGCAGAUGUCGCUGAUCAGGAAAACAUUUCCCUGCAUUUCCUCCAGAUUCCUGUCGCGGCUGUGGACGGUGGUGCUUCCCUGAGACUGCAGCAUCGCCGAGCCACCUCGCAGAGUUCGCGCGGUGCGACAUCUCCUUGGGAGAGAAUCGGCUGGACUGGGAGUUGACUGCAAGGCUCAAAGGCAGUCCACUGGGGACAACGGCCAGGGACCACACCUGCUGCCUUUUAUACUUCGUGUUUGUGUGAUGGACACCUAGAUCAACCCCCACAAGAAACCCUUUGUAUGCUUUAGAGAAGAGAGAGAGAGAGAGAGCGCGCGCGAGCUUCCAUCUGCUGGUUCACUCCCCAAAUGGCUGCAAUGACCAGGGCUGGGCCAGUCCAAAGCCAGGAGCCAGGAGCUUCUUCUGCAUCCCCCUGGUGGGUGCAGGGGCCCAAGCACUUGGCCCAUCCUCUGCUGCUUUCUUAGCUGCAUUAGCAGGGAGCUGGAUAAGAAGUGGAGCAUCCAGAACUCAAACUGGUGCUCAUACGUGCUGCCGGCAUCGCAAGCGGUGGCUUGACGUGGUGCGCCACAAUGCUGGCUCCAAGAAAUCUUUCACAAAAGGAAGGGGCCCGUGGGGUGUUCUCUUCCUGCUUCCAAGGUUGUGGAGAUGCGGUUGGAGCCGGUACAACCCAACCUAGCAUCACAAGGGGCAGAGAGAGAUCCCGCCUACUCAAUUAAAAUGAACCCUACAAGCCAUCAACGCUUGCUGAAUCCUACGGAGGAAGCAAAGAAUCUUAAAGUACUUUUCUCUGGCCUUAGGAAGCUUGGGUUUUGAGUGCAGCUAGGAGAUGCACCGUCCUGCCUGAGGGAGCAGAAGGGAACAUAAAAACCAAAGGAUCUCCGGUCUGGGGCAGACUUUGCGUCUAAGCAGCUGGUGGCCUAGCCUUCCUCCACCCUUCAAGCCUCCUUGUAUACUACCCAGAGAGGCACUUUAGAAAGGUGGGCUUUACAAAAGAAACAGGGGGGGCCUUUGGCGUGGAGGUGUAGGUGUCUCUUGGCACGCUCACCUCCCAUAUCAGAGGGCCUGGGUUCGAAUCCUGGCUCUGCUCCUGGUUGCAGCGUCCUGCUAAUGAGCACCCUGGGAGGCAGCAGGUGUUGGCUCAAGCAGCUGGGUCCCUGCCACCCACAUGGGAGACCCAGAUGGAGCUCCAGGCUGCUCGCUCUAGCCUGGCCCAGCCCUGGCCGCUGUGGGCACUGGGGGCCGGGGGGCAGUAGAUGGGAGAUCUCUACCUUUCAGAUUAAAUAAGCAAGUAGAUAAAAAAGAUAGGCAAGCGAGAGACAUCACUCCAUUGCUCCUCGCGGUCUCUGCUGGCUCGUGACUCUUGGUCGUGUGUCUUUCCCCUCCCUGGCUCUGUCUGAAGAUAUUCCUGUCCCUGGUUUGUGAAAUGUGACUGUGAGGUGCCCUGGUGCGGUUCUCUGUGUGUUUUAGACUCUGAGCUGAGAUUGUUUGUUCAGCCUUUGAUCUGCGGAUUUAUGCUUUUUUUUAAAAAAAAGAAAAUUUGGAACAUCUUUAGCAAAACCAAAAAAAAAUGAGUGCUGGGGUUAGCAAGAGUCCAAAUCAGGUUCAGGCCUGAGUUGACUGUUUAUGUUCUGAUCCUUGAUUUUCUCUAUGGUAAAACAGGGACAAUAAUACCUACCCCUGAGGACCACAGUGAGCCCUAACCAGGUAAAGGAGGCCCAGUGACAUUCUGAGACAACUGGGGCUGGUGUUGUGGCCCAGGGGGUUAAGCCACCACCGGCAACGUCAACAUCCCACGUAAGCACUAGUUCAAGUCCUGGCACUCCUCUUCUGAUCCAGCUCCUUGGGAAGACGGCAGAAGAUGGCCCGAGUCUUUGGGCUCCUGUGUCCUCCCUGGAAGUCUGAGUUGCCUCCAGGGAGGGAAUACAGAUAUCUAGGAGGAAGCAUUGUGGCUUUUGAAACCCAAACAGGCUCUCUCCUAGUGCACCUGUCUUCCGUGUGCAACUUGAUUGUGAAAUGCAUGAAUUUCUGAGCUGAGAGGUCUACAAAAUGCUGGGCGCACUGGCUGGGGAGGUGCGCUCACGGAGGCCACAGGCUGAGCACCGGCAACAGAAGCCCUGGAGCCGCCCAGAGGUCCUAACACCCCAGGGGGAGAUCCAGAGUCCACAGGGGCCUCCUCCGAGCCCCAGACACCCAGGGCUGCUAUGGUUUGAACUUGAUUUGCCUCCCAAACUCAUGUAGGACUUUAACCUAAGUUCAUGGUAUGAGGAGGGUAGAAUGUCAGCCCAGUUUUGGUAUUUGGUCGGUGAGCCGGCCGGAGGUCCUAAGUCGUUGGUGGCAGGCCCGGCUGUAAAAGCCGAGUUGGGUGCACCUCCCCGCCCCCUCUGGUCCCAGUUUGCUGUGUGGCCAUUCCUCUGCACCUGCUCUGCUGCCAUCACCCCUGCCCUCAUCGGAGGCCAAACCAAGGGGCCCUUGAACUUGGACUUGAGCCUCCAACACUGAGCUAACUCUACCUCUCUUUUUCCUGCGUAAGUAAUUAUCCCAGGUGUUUUGUUGGUGUUAAAAAAAUCUGACUUGUAAAAGGGGAGAGUGAAUCUUAUCCUAUCAAAUUAUCUAUCUGGAGUGGGGUAAAACAAAUAGUUUUUAGUCAAGCACGACUUGAAAAUGCUAAUGCGUACACACCCUUUCUUGUAAGCUAUCAGAGGCUGUGCUACCAAAAUAAAGGGGUACACCAAGAAAGAGGAAGACGGGGCUCCAGGGAACAUGGUACUCAACACCAGGCAGAAGGAAGAGACCCCAGGCCAAGGCUAUGAGGGAGACCCAGCCCCUGUCCAGAGGGGGAACCAAGGGUUUAGGAGCGACAGAUCCUGGAAGAGAAACGAAAUCGGUAAGUUAGUUCCCUGCUCUGUUUCAUCAGGCGGUAAACAGCAAUAUUCAGAGGGUUCCUGUAACUGGUGAAGGAUUUUAGGAAGAAAUAACAAAGAAACCAAGCAAACAAAAAUGAGAGCUUACUAGAAUGAGGGGGAAAUUUAGAAAGAUGUGUAGGAAUGAAUUAACUCAUAGAUCCAGGUUGUAAUAGGAUAAACACAGGUAGGAGGGGAGACUGGGGGUCCCAGGUGAGACGCAGGACCAAAUGCCCAUUUUCCAUCACAGGAAUCAAUAGAAUGGAUAAGUCGGGAAGAACGAUUGUGUUUAGAAUUAUGGAUGUAACCAUCGGAAUAGCAGAAAGGGCUGACAGUGCCGUCUUCCAUCACAAGGCUUGUAGUUCUAUCUGAUUUUAACUCAUACAUGUAUUUCUUGAAUGAUUUAAAAACAUAACUGGCAAAGAGAAAAGAAGCUAAGAGGUGAUGGCCUUGAGAGAAAGGGUUCUAGAUUUGCAUGGAUGAGUGUGAUGACCUUGAGAAUUUAAGCAGGUCAGGCUCUGAGGAUGUGGUCAUAGAAUUAGUGCCAUCAACAAUGCAUUAGAAGGGAAUCGAUGGCCGUCACGCCCCCGGACAGGAUCGAUGUGCAGACUCAAGUGCUGCUGGGGAGGGUGAGGGGCGGGCCCUGGUGUGGGAAGGCUCCGCCUUGCUCGUCCCCACCUCCCCCUUGGACCAAGGUUCGGGUGAGAAGCGUUGAUAGAAGACUCAAGGCCAUUUGGGAACGUGAGACUCAGGCCAGUGUGUGCCUCCCUCCCCCAGAGAAGCUCGAGAUCAUAACAAGCCUUUGUAGAGAAGCCCCCUGCCCUCUGUGGGGUGGGAGCAGCAGAGGCAGAUGGCGGCACGACCCCUGGGGACAGAGGGCCCCAGGACCCUCGAUCGUAGUUAGCUUCUGGGCCUCUGGUCGCGGCCUUCUUGCUGGCAGAGUUCCCACAGCUGAGAGCAGCACACAGCCAAAGGGAGCAGGUGCGUCCAUGUCUCUGAUGCCUUAUGAAGCCACGAGGCUGUAGCCACAGGCUGCACCUUAGCUCCCAACCCAAACCUUCCAGAGGCCCCGCCUUCAGAAGCCAUCAUUGGGUUGUCCCCACCCGCUUCGUUCUGCUAACGUACGACUUCGGGGUCCAAAGCUUUCACACGCGAGUCUUGUGGGGGACAUUCAUCACCCAAACUAAUAUCCAGAUCGUAGCACCCUCUAAAAUAUUUAUUUAUUUGAAAC